UCCAGGGAUGUGUCCUCACCGGCGUUUGGGUUAUAGCUCAUGAGUGUGGUCAUCAUGCCUUUAGCGACUAUCAAUUGCUUGAUGACAUCGUUGGCCUUGUCCUCCAUUCUUGUCUCCUCGUCCCUUAUUUUUCAUGGAAACAUAGCCAUCGUCGCCAUCAUUCCAACACAGGCUCUCUGGAUAGGGAUGAAGUGUUUGUACCGAAGAAGAAAUCUGGUAUCCGUUGGUACUCCAAAUACCUUAACAACCCGCUAGGUCGUUUCCUCACCAUUACCAUCACCCUUACUCUUGGCUGGCCUCUUUACCUUGCAUUCAAUGUUUCAGGCAGACCUUAUGAUAGGUUUGCUUGCCACUACGAUCCAUAUGGCCCUAUCUACAAUGAUCGUGAGCGUGUGGAGAUAUUUAUAUCUGAUGCUGGUAUUCUUGCUGUCACUUACGGGCUCUACCGCCUUGCAGUCGCAAAGGGACUUGGUUGGGUUCUUUGUGUUUAUGGAGGGCCAUUACUUGUGGUGAAUGCAUUCCUUGUUCUGAUCACAUAUCUGCAGCAUACCCAUCCUUCAUUGCCGCAUUACGAUUCAUCUGAGUGGGACUGGUUAAAAGGGGCUCUAGCAACCGUCGAUAGAGAUUAUGGAAUCUUGAACAAGGUCUUCCAUAACAUAACAGACACUCAUGUAGCUCACCAUUUGUUCUCAAUGAUGCCACACUACCAUGCUAUGGAGGCAACGAAGGCAAUCAAACCAAUUUUGGGAGAUUACUACCAACAUGACGGAACUCCAGUCUAUAAGGCAACGUGGAGAGAGGCCAAGGAAUGCAUUUAUGUACAUCCAGACGACGACGACGACGACAAACAGAAGAACAAAGGCGUCUUUUGGUACAGAAAUAAAUUGGAUUGAAGAUGUCAUCAUGAAUGUAUCGGGGAGUGGAGGUUUCUGUUUGUUG
rnacentral:lncRNA from 1 species